AAUAUUCUCCAGUGGCGGCGCCGCUACCAAUCAAUCCUAAAUCAAUACCACAGCACCCCCAUGGUCUCCUCUUCCCCAAUCCAUAACCCGUUUUCCUCGAAUCACCUUAGGAUUCUUCGAAUCUUGAUUCAUAGUUUUGAACCCUAAAAUCCCAAAACCCCAAAUCGAGAUUUCAGUGAAGGGUUGGGGUCUAGUUGUAUUUUACUCGUGUAUUCUUGACAAGAACGCACGAUUAAGGUCAAACUCGGCCAAAAUUUGAAGGUUUAAAGAUUCUUUUCAAUUUUCUACUGUCCAGGCCACUUCUUAGGUAUUUUUCUUUAUUUUUCUGUUAUUCAAUUUUUAUUUGUAGUUCUCUUCUCAUCUUCUACCGUUUAUUUCUUUUAUUUUCUGAUUUUUUUUUCAUUUUUCAUUUCUUCAAAUCAUCCAUGUUUGCGUGUUAGUCUUAGAUUUGUUUAGUUAGCAUUUUUUUUUCUGGUUUUGAGUUUUGUAUGUGGUUUGAUUUUCUGUUUCUACUCUUUCUUUGGGUGCUGAGGGUUUCGUGAGCCUUUGUGACUCUGCAAGCUUUUGGGCUGUGUGGGUUUGUCUGAGUUCAAUUGAACUUAGACCCUGAAAAUCCGAAGUCCAAAAGAGGAUUCAACCCGAAUUUUGCAGACCCAUAACUAUUUGACCUUGGGUCAAUUUGACCAAUAUCUAUUUGGUUUCAGGGGUAAAAAUAGAGGGUCUAGGGGUUAAUUUAGGUUAGGGAAUAUAUUUGUAACUAACUGGAGAAGCUUCUAGGAAGGUGGGAUUGGGACUAACUCUGAAAAACUGAUUUUAAACUAAGGGUAUAACAGCAAAAAUAAAAAUUGCAAAAGGAUUAAAAGGCAAAAAUAAAACUUAUUCCCACUGCCCUAAGACUUGCCUAUAAAGGCAUUGUAAUUUAAUUCUCAAGUCAGAACUUAGAGACUAUAAAAUACUGAAAAGGUGAAAACGGCUGAGCUUCAAAAACUCUGAAGAAACACUGAAAUUCCUGCAUUCCCCUUGGUCAAAAUUGGCUAAUUCUACUUCGAAAUUUCCUAGUUAAUCAGAGCUUUCGAGACUCUAUAGACUGGUGUUCAUCUGGGAUCUUCACUGAUUGGAAAGAAGCUGAUUUUGCUGUAUUUGUUUUGCUGAAACUGCAAGUUGCUAUUGCUGAUUUCUGUCACUUUUCCUUUUAUUUUGAUCAUUCCAGGUAUUUUCUUGAACUAUUGAUUGGCAAAUGAAGUUAUGAAUGUGUUGGUUUUGUAUGGAAAAUAG
rnacentral:lncRNA from 1 species